rnacentral:rRNA from 1 species
ACACGACCGUGCCGCAAACCGACACUGGUGCGCGAGAUGAGUAUUCUCAGGCGCUUGAGAGAACUCGGGAGAAGGAACUCGGCAAAUUGACACCGUAACUUCGGAAGAAGGUGUGCCUUUAGUAGGUGAAGGGAUUUACUCCUGGAGCCCAAUGAGGUUGCAAAAAAUCGGUGGCUGCGACUGUUUAAUAAAAACACAGCACUCUGCAAACACGAAAGUGGACGUAUAGGGUGUGACGCCUGCCCGGUGCUGGAAGAUUAAGUGAUGGGGUGCAAGCUCUUGAUCGAAGUCCCAGUAAACGGCGGCCGUAACAAUAACGGUCCUAAGGUAGCGAAAUUCCUUGUCGGGUAAGUUCCGACCUGCACGAAUGGCGUAACGAUGGCCACACUGUCUCCUCCCGAGACUCAGCGAAGUUGAAAUGUUUGUGAUGAUGCAAUCUCCCCGCGGAAAGACGGAAAGACCCCAUGAACCUUUACUGUAGCUUUGUAUUGGACUUUGAACGAAUCUGUGUAGGAUAGGUGGGAGGCUUUGAAGCAGGGUCGCUAGAUCUUGUGGAGCCAACGUUGAAAUACCACCCUGGUGCGUUUGGGGUUCUAACCUAGGCCCGUGAUCCGGGUCGGGGACAGUGCAUGGUAGGCAGUUUGACUGGGGCGGUCUCCUCCCAAAGCGUAACGGAGGAGUUCGAAGGUACGCUAGUUACGGUCGGACAUCGUGACGAUAGUGCAAUGGCAUAAGCGUGCUUAACUGCGAGACUGACAAGUCGAGCAGAUGCGAAAGCAGGACAUAGUGAUCCGGUGGUUCUGUAUGGAAGGGCCAUCGCUCAUCGGAUAAAAGGUACUCUGGGGAUAACAGGCUGAUACCGCCCAAGAGUUCAUAUCGACGGCGGUGUUUGGCACCCCGAUGUCGGCUCAUCUCAUCCUGGGGCUGUAGCCGGUCCCAAGGGUAUGGCUGUUCGCCAUUUAAAGAGGUACGUGAGCUGGGUUUAAAACGUCGUGAGACAGUUUGGUCCCUAUCUUCCGUGGGCGCUGCAGAUUUGAGGAAGCCUGCUCCUAGUACGAGAGGACCGGAGUGGACGCACCUCUGGUGUACCUGUUGUCACGCCAGUGGCAUUGCAGGGUAGCUAAGUGCGGAAGAGAUAACCGCUGAAAGCAUCUAAGCGGGAAACUCGUUUCAAGAUGAGAUCUGCCGGGGCCUUGAGCCCCCUGAAGAGUCGUUCUAGACCAGGACGUUGAUAGGUCAGGUGUGGAAGCGCAGUAAUGCGUUAAGCUAACUGAUACUAAUUG